UACGGAGGGUGCAAGCGUUAGUCGGAAUUACUGGGCGUAAAGCGCACGCAGGUGGCUGAGCAAGUCGGAUGUGAAAGCCCUGGGCUUAACCUGGGAAUUGCAUUCGAUACUACUCAGCUAGAGUAUGGGAGAGGGUAGUGGAAUUCCCGGUGUAGCGGUGAAAUGCGUAGAUAUCGGGAGGAACAUCAGUGGCGAAGGCGGCUACCUGGACAGUAACUGACGCUCAGGCACGAAAGUAUGGGGAGCAAAAAGG
rnacentral:rRNA from 1 species